AGCACAGGGUUUGGGGAGGGGAGGUCACCGCCCUCUGUCCUGAGUCUGGGGCUUGUCUCUACUCGCUGCCCCCCGCCUUUCCCUGGAGAGUCCCCGGCUUGUCUUCACUCCAGCUGCUGGCUCCACUUGCCCUUGGCGCCCAGCUCACCACCUCCUCCUGCCUCUAGGCCUGUAAGUGGACCACUCCCUCUGCAGUGCUCAAGGUAGGUGCCCAGACUGCCUGCCGAUGGGCACUCCCUCCCCAGCCCAGUGUGGAGGGAAGGCCAGGGGACCUCCAGAGCCCCCUCUGCUCUGCAUGUGGGGAGCAGUGAGGGAGACAGAGGCAGGGCUGGGCCCCUCAGCCUCUGGGGGGCAGGUAGAGGCGGGGAGGGCCUCCCUCCAUCACUGGGAGAGAAACAGAAGGGGAAGCAACAUGCAUUGAUAAGACAGGGUAGGCGGGGCUGGCCUGGCAGCACUCACCUGCUCUCUGGAGACGGAGAUAGACAGGACCUCCUGGAGGGAGUCCCCCGGAUGGAACUGUAGGAUGUCAGCCAGCAUCUGCUUGGUGCUACAGGAGGACGGGGGUGAGUUGGGAGGGGCAGGGCCUGGCUGGACAGCGAGAGUAAGUGGACCCUGGCUGUAUCCCAGCUGCCAAGGAGGCUCGGGAGAGAGAUAAGAGACCCAGUGAGAGGGGUUUUGGGGGAACCAACCCUGGAGGGUGCUGAUCAUGCAGAAGCCCCCACAGCCCUGCAGACACCGUUUCCUCGGAGUUCUGUGUCCUCUGCUUCAUGCCCCCUCCCCAAACUGGCUUCCUCUGAGUCCUCACCAGACCUUUCCCAACCAAGGUGUCCCUUCAGGUGCACCUGCUCAGCACCCCCGACACCCCCUCCCUCUUGGUGGCUCUCUGUAAGCCCUUGGGGUGGCAGGACCAAGGAGCACACACCCCGCCGGCUCUCGGGUCUAUCGGUGCUGCAGGGAGGGCUUGCUCCUCCUGGAGCGGACCUCACCCACCUCAGCAGCAGGUUCUGGGCAGUGGUGUCAUCAGCGCCUGUCUUCACCCCUUCAAACUUGUUGCUGAGGGUCAGGGACACUUCCAGCCUGCUCAGAUCCUCGGUCCCAUCUGCAGCUACGUUCUCCCCUGAGAUUUAGAGAGAGGGAGAGAGACAGACACACACACACACACACACACACACACACACACACACACACACACACGGGAUCACGGUAAAUAUUCCAGGCUUCUUCCCAGAAGGCCCCCCAGCCCCCCACCCUGCCCUCACCCCUGAGCACCUCAGAAAGUCUGUCUCCCACAGAGCUGUGUCCUGGGAAUGGGCCUCCCCUGACCCCUCCGCCCUUGCUGUCCUGGCAGUGCCUGCACCUGAGCUUGGAGUACCCUGUGCCCUCUUGUGCCCACCAUCUUCACCACACCUCCCUCUUCCUCCUCCCCACCUCCUUAGAUCCUGAAAUCCCUCCUCCCCAGAGAAACCGUUUGAGAUGAGACAGCGUGCAGAAUUGCUCAGCCCAGGCCAAGGGGCCCGUCCCCCUCCCAUCCAUCUCAAGCCUCUAUCGCUUGCCCCUUUGGGCAACCAGGCCGGGUCCGCCUGUCCACCCUCUCCAGAGAGGACAAGACCCUGCGAGGGCACGCUAACAGGCUCUGCCCGCGAGCUGGCCCUCCCUCUUCUCCCCCACCGGCCCUAGCUGCCAGGGGGCACACACCAAGGAGGUCAGGGACCGAGGGCAGCUCCCCGAGGUCGUCCAGCAGCUCGUGCAGGGGGUCGUGGUGGUCAGGGGCGAUCCAGUCCUGGUGCUCCAGCAACAACUGCGAGGAGGGCAAAGGAGGGUCUGAGGCGGCCACCGUGGACUCUCCCGCCCACCCCCCGCCCUCACCAGGCUGCAGCCCUCACCCUGUGUGUGCUGACCAGCUCCCCCACUGUGAUGUACACCACGGGCCUGUCCAGAGCCACUGUGUCCGAGUAUUCGUCCACUGCAAACCGCUCUUCUGGCUCCGGCACCUGGCAGGCCCGGCACAGGAACCUCCUGCCCCACAGGGAGCCGUGUGAGUACGCACAGCCCUGUUCUGGCCCCAGAUCCCCGUCUCAGCUCUUGCCUUGCCUCUUGAUCUCAACAGCUCACGAGCCAACUUCCACCAGCUCCGUGCACUCCUCCGGGUGGUCCCCCCAGCAACCUGCCCUCCAGUCGAUGCCCCGCCCCUCGGUGGAUUCUGAGAGAGGGACGCCAGGAGCCCAGACCUGAACUUGAGGACAGCCCCGAGGGCUCUGUGGCUGCCGCCCCUGCCAGCGACCACCAAGCAGCUCCCAGGGCCCUGCUGUGGGCCAGACGCAGGAGGCAAACUGGUGAGCUGAGAGGAGGUGCCGCAAGCCCCAGCCCUGACCCCACACUAACCAGCCAGACCUUCCCAUUCCUUCCCCUCUGCCAGGCCUAGGAAGUGCUUGGCCGAGGAACGCUUCUGGCCCGCCUUAUCCCACAGGGCCUUGGAGGGCACCGGGAUGGCCAGGAGCGGAGGAAGCAGUGGACACUGGCCGAGUGCUAUUCAAAUACUUGAUACUUCCCCUUCUUUCUAGUGUUGAUCGGCCGCCGCCAAAGGUACUAGAGACAGGUGCUUAUGGCUAGCUCCUUGUGUCCUGUUCUUUGCUUGGUCUGGGGCCGCCUUCCCCAACCCCAAUUGCAAAGCCUCAGACCGCUUCUCCGGACUGAUUUGCAAAGCUGAGUAUCAGUCUUGGGGUGGGGGGCUUCUCUCACCAGCACCCCUCCCCCAGCGGCCCUGACCACCAGGAGCGCUGGCUGGCGAGUGGAACCAGGUGAUGGCCCCCUUGCUAGAUUUCCAUUCUUUUGAAAAUCACUUGUUGGCUAAAGGCUAGGACUAUUGGCACAUCGUCAACCUUGAAGUGGGAGACCGGUCGGGUGGGGUGUAACGACGUGGGCAAGAUAUAGCAGAUGACCCUUGGUUUCCUGGUCCGUGCAGUGGGGGCAGCACUGCCCAGGCCUUAGGUCCUGGCAUUCUCGUGAGAACAUCGUGACCGCAGCAGCAGCUGACCAGCUGCCCCCUCCGCAUGCUGGUGCCGUCGCGCUCCCGCCCGGCAGCCAGCCCAGGGAAGGAGAGGGACCUAAGUGCUCUACCGGUCUGGUGCACGUUCAUUUUUGGCUCUGUGGACCCAAGAGUGCUUAUUUUCCCCCAUCUGCUUUCAAUCACGUGUCCUUGUGACCACGUGAGGGCUGCCUUCUCAGGCGCCAGUCAUGUCCUUUGAGCUACGAACAGCCCAGCCUCAGCCAGGGGCUCCACUGCGUCCCCCGCCCCCGCCCGCCGAGUACGCACGGGAUCUGGUCCACGGAUGACAUGAUGGCCACAAGAAACUUCUCGGUCACAGCGAGGAGGUUGCGUAUGGAGAUGUCUAGUCGUCUCUGGACCUCGGGGUGGCUCAAGGCCUGCUCCGGGGUGACCUCAUAGGGGAGGUGGCUGUGGGCCAGAGGGGACAUCAGCCAGAGCCCUCUCCCACGGCGCCCCUUCCCAGGCCCAUCCUUUAAACUCCCACUGCAGGCUCUGGUGCUCUAAGGGCAGCCCAGCCUCAGAGACCUGGAGAUGGGGUGAAAGGGGAAGGGCUGGGGAGGCCAGAGGGAGGUGGGUGGGCACAGGAAAGCAUGGGGAACCGGAAAGUUGUGGGAGGACCCCUCUGAGGCCCAGGAGGGACAGGGCCCGUGGCACCUAGCCUGUGGGGGGAUGGGCAGGAGGGAAGACAGGCCCUAUGGCCAAGAAUCUGGCCCUACCCAGAGUGGCCCCAGACAGGCAGCCCUCCUGGGCAGCUCCAUUUCACCCUCAGGGAGCAGGAGGUACCCUACUCUCGAAGGCCGGCCUCAGGAGCCUGGGGCCCCAUGGGAGACGCACGGGGCCGCUACACUCAGGGCAGGUGGUUCACACUCAGGAGCCCCUCCACAGGAGGGAGGAGGGGCUGUCUACUGCCGCAAAGGCCUAGGCUCAGAAAACUGACGUGGGGUUUCCUAUGAGCUGGGACUGGCCAGCCUGCUUCUCCCUCGAUCUCAUUUGCCUAUUCAUCUGUAAGCCUGAAUAUUCAUCCAUACACCGAUCAAUAAAGAGUGCUUAUCCCCA